UUUUCAUCAUUCUUGCCUCAACGUUUUCUUUUACAGUUUUUAGCAAACAGUAAUAGCAACCCCUGUUUCGAAAAUGGAACUACCAGGCUUUGCAGAAAAAGGAAAUACCAACUCCCAGUAGUCAUCAAGUGUCCAUCCAACUGGAAAUGAUUGAACGAUACAAAGAGUCACAAAUGUUUAUGGUGAAAAACACACCCCGCCAGAUGUCACUAAGAGUUGUGAACUUAAGCCUCUUUGAUUCGCAG
rnacentral:lncRNA from 1 species